GGCCAGAAACGACAGCGAGCAAACGGUUUCCCAGGACGGCCGCGUCGGGUGCUCUAGAAAAGGAAAGCUGGAAAAACGCCAGCAGCUAAUGCCAGAAACGCUGCUGUCACAGUUUCCACCUAAGUCGAAGGAAAACAAGUCAAAAGGCUCGCUCAAGUGGCAGUUGCUUUUUUUGGGCCAAGCCAGCGGAUCCGACCACUAUGAGCGACUUAGGAGCCCGGCAAUGAUGUUAGCAUGACGCGUGACGGCGAAAUUCCAGCCAUUUUUAAUCCGAAACGGGUGCGCACUCCUUCCGUGGUGGUCACCGGCGACUCGUCGACGAAUGGCCCGUACAACAAUAACAACCCCGGCGGAGGCGGCGGAGCGGGAGCCAGCAGCAGCUCAGCAGUGGCUCCCGGAGCGUCCGCUCCAAAUGGCAGUGGCACAGGGGCGACGGGCAGCUGCGGCUUCAGCAACGUGCUCACCUCGAGCAACCCGCAAAUAACCCACCAAGACUCGAUCUCGUCGAGCCAACAGGACCCCAAUGAGGUGAUCAUCAUACCGGCGGACACGCCCACGAGCGCACCGGGUAGCCACAAUACGGCCCACCACUUCGGCGGCGGCGACUCCAGCGACACGCAGACGGAGCAGCAGCAGCAGGCCAAUGGCCACGGGGAGGAGCCGGAGCUGCGGUUCCGGAAGCUGCAGGCCUGCAAGGAGUCCUGCUGCUCCGAACUGGCCCGCAAGAUGUACUUCGGCGUGUGCGUGACCAUCCUGAUGACCGCCUCGUGGGUGGGGGCCACCCACUGCAUUAAGUACAUGUACAAGUACCGUGCUCCGUACGACGACCUGCUGAACGACGACCAGGACACGUCCUCGAGCCGUGCCGAUCUGAGCACGGAGCUGGAGGACAUACUGGCCAUCAGCGACUCGUCGCUGCACCACGUCGAGGACGCCACCGAGAUGUUCAACAUACCACCGCGCCAGCCGGUCUACUUCAGCGCCCCGUUCUUUGCCGCCUGGUUCUUCACCAACUUCUCGCUGCUCUUCUUCCCCAUCUACCUACUGGGUCUGGUCUCCACGCGCAAGUGCGAGAAGCUGAGCGACAUCCUUGGCGAUGUGCUGCGAGGAUUCCGCGAGCGCGGCUUCACAGUGGGUCGCUUCCUCAAUCGCUGCCUCUGUUUCUGCAUUUUGUGGCUGGUCACCACCUACCUGUACACACUCUCCCUGCACGUCCUCUAUGCCACGGAUGCCCUGGCCCUGUUCGCCACCAACGUGGCCUGCGUGUACCUACUGUCCUGGGUGAUCCUGCACGAGCAGUUCGUGGGUGUGAGAAUCGUGGCCAUCAUCCUCUGCGACACGGGAAUAGCGUUACUGGCCUACAUGGAUGGCAUCACGGAAAGCCGAACCCUGAGCGGCGUGGUUCUGGCCACUUUGGCCGGAGCCGGCUAUGCCGUGUUUAGGGUUAUGUUCCGCAAGGUGAUGGGCGAUCCGCCGGUGAGCCAAAUCGCCUUCAUAUUCACCGCCCUCGGCUUCCUCAACGCCCUGCUGCUGUGGCCCGUGGUGCUGGGACUCUACCUGACUGGCACGGAAAGCCUCACAUCGGAGAGCAUACCCUGGAACCUGCUGUUCGCGGCGAGCCUCCUGCUCCUCGUUUUCCACGUUCUGAUGCAGUUCAGUGCCGCCGUUACGUACAACAUGUUUGUGACAUUGGGUCUGAUUACGGCUGUGCCCGUUUCUGGUGCACUCGAUGUCAUCCUGUACAGUGCCAACUUUGCGGGCAUGAAGCUGGCCGGAGUCAUCCUGAUUGGCAUCGGAUUUUUCCUCGUUAUGUUCCCCGCCAACUGGCCCGACUAUAUAACGCGAUUGUUGCGAAAGAGCGUUCGUGCCAUACUCCGCUACCAAUGUUGUUGUGAAUUAGCCGAAAUUCGCUAUGCUCAUUCGGUAGGCCAAAAACACAAGCUAAGCCAAAAACCCAAAACCAAAAUUAAAACCAAACCCAAAAACAAUACCAAAUCCCUGAUUCAAGACACUAUUAGUUAUAAACUAGAACCGUAGGCAUCCUAAGAUAUCGAACCUUCCAGCUCAACUUUGACUUGAUAAUGCUAAUAUGAUAAGUAACAGAAACUUGGCAGAUUUUUUACUGAAUACAACAACAACAACAAAACUUCUAUGCUAUCUUUAGGUACUAUAUGAAAACACAAAAUAUAUACCCCACAAGCAAAACUACAACACUUUGGCUUCCAACUUUGCGCUCACCCUUGUUGAAAGAAAUAUCUAGACAUGUGUAUCUUACUGUUACCAUAUAUAUACCUGCCUUUAUGUACACCCAAUUAACCAUAUACCGAAAUAUACCUCUACACACAUUUUACGACCAUAUAUCUAUAUAUCGUUAUCGUUAAAUAAAACCGUUCUACCGACACCAACUACUUCGGCUGUUGUGCAAAUGGUUGACAAUCCCAUCUCGUUGUUGUUCUUAACGUUUUUUUGGCGCUGCCCGUUACCAUAAAUGUACUUAUACUUAUUGUUGUUGAUACUUUUGAUGAUUUCGUUUCGUUUCGGCAUAUCAGCAACCUUAUGUACCCUCUAUGUAUACCUCAGAUUCGGGGGUAUGCUAUAUAACCAGACCGAUCUCAGUGCCAAUCUUUUGUUUUGCCCAUUGUGUAAGAUAUAUCCUUGUAUCUGGAUGCUGGUUGCUGGUGCCGAGGUUCCAUUAAUGUAGUAGUUCCCACACCCGAACAAUAUACUAUAUACACCCACAACACACUCCGAAACACACACGCCCACCUCAACGUACAUAUGUAGUUUGCGUUUCGCUGGUGUUGCGAAAGUUUCCAUUUCAAGAUCCACGCAGAACUCCAAGAACAUGGAUGCUGGUGAUUAUGAUAUUCGUGAUGAUGAUGAUUUGUUUGGCUGUUUGUUGUGUGACCUCUACUGAAUUGCAGCUUCUUGUCAUUGGGUUCAAUCUAUUGACUUGGCCAUAGCCUAUAACCUGUUCGUGUAAAUAAAUUCGAUUUUUGGUUAUUUGUUCUUUAGUUACCCAAACUGUCUGCACUUAGAGAGGAGAGCGCAAGUUACCAUAGAUGUUUUGCAGAUGUUAAAAAGCAGCAUGAACGAAUUUCCCAAAGCUGGGCCUCUAAAUCCCCAACGCCCCAAGUAAUCUCGUUUGCCCAUUAUCAUUUCCCCCGAAAACUGUGACAGGGUGCCACCGGCAAGAGAGAAACCAAAUAAAAACAAAGUCCCGACCUUUAAAACGAUUAAGCCCUAAAUAACGAUAUACAUUAAAAUGCAUUCGAAUUGUUACUGAUUGGCAUGUUUGAACCGACCUUCGUUUUCUCUUCGUUUUCAUUUUGAAUUGACGGUUUUUCGUUUUCCAAACUGAUCUGAUCUUGAGUUACUCCUUUAUUUCUGUGCGAUCUGUCUGCCUAACUUUAAAUUCUUCAAGCUCUACUCUAUGCUAUAUACUGUACCUACUUCUUAUAUAUAUAAAAAACGUGUCGACAUUUCUCAAUUGUCUUUUUGCAGAAGCAUCAUAAUGCUGGGUCACAAUGCGAGGUGAGUGUCGAGUUUAGGCUGAGCUGAGAAUUGAAUAUGUUUCUUACAACCUAAGCAUAAACAACACGGUGCCCGAAAUCUGAAAGAAGGGUUUUCCGUUAUUAAACCAUAUAGGAAUACCUCACUCUAAAUACCCAGCCCAUACCGAGACAAGCAAUCAACAAACUUACUAAUAUAUUCAUCCAAAAUCCAACUGUAAGCGAAGUAUGUUUUUUUCGAUUCGAUUUCGUUACAAUCCUUAGUCAACUCUUGCCUAGACUUUUGAUAAUUCGGGUUUGAUUUGGUUUCGUUUGGUUUGUGAGGGAUUGCAAGAGAUGCCCCUAACCUUACCUCUCGCAUCUAAGUUUUGAUUUCCAUAUUUCUUUCGUAAGCUAAUCCGAGUAACAGUAUGAUAGCCUUUGCCUUUGGUUAAUCAGUACAGUACGGCCGAGUAGUCUCGGUCAGCCAGUUUUGGGUUUACUCCUCUUUUGGCCCCAGAGCUAAGGUAAGUCGAUCCGAGGGUCCUGCAAUGCCCACCGCCAGCUAAAGUCACCUCACAUAAGGUGUAUCGAUCCCAUAUCGAUGCCCAACGACAGAAUCACCCAAUCACCUAAAACCCACGAACCCACUCACUUUCGGAGCCACCGGAGUAGAUGCAAUGAUCAUGAUCUUCCGUUAAACAGUUUCUUGUAUGAUAUUCUUUUCGGAGGCCUUUGAAAACCAGUGCUGGCCGUAAGCGAUGCAGCGGUAUCGGAGGUGUGCAGGUGAAAAUCCACUCAUACGAUCUCAAGGCGUAACUGCUGCAUCGUUUGCAACCCACGUUUGGAGAUCCGUCGGAUCUCAAGCAGUAGUAUCUCCUGAUUUGUAUAUAGUAACACCGCUAAUCUGUACUAUUGCUUCUUUUUCUUCUUGUUUUUCUUCUUCACCUCUGCCACAACCUGCCUAUCUCUAUUUCUCUCUCUCUCUCUCUGUGUGUUUCUCUGGACUAUCUCCUCUUCUCGAACUGUUCUCUCUCUCUCUUUCUUCACACACCUACACACACACACACACACACACACACACAACCGAACGGGACGUCCAUUGCAAAACCACAAAAAUACACUGCAAAAAACGAUCGAACAUGACCACACAUAAAACCAUGUAGCGGUAGGCCAGCGCUUUGUAAACGAGCUGAAGUCACGGGACCGUCCACCAGAUAUGCGCAGCGGCACAUCACGCGCACGCACCAUAUAAGCUAAGAGUUUUGGACAAGUCACUGAAUUGUACAGAAAACAAAUAAGAAAAAACAAACAGAACAAGACAAGAUAUAUUUUGUAAAAAGAUUUUCCAAAAAAAGUAACAAAAAUGCAAAGAAAAACUCUGAAACUCAAUUGCACCACUUGCCAGAUCGGGAUCGCAGCAUAUAUAUGCAACCCAUUACAAACACAAACGAAAGUAUUAUGCGGUCAAGACCGACUCGUACGUUGUCUGAGCCAAUCGCAUGAA